GAAGAAUCAGUUUACAUUUCCAGUCAAUCGACAGAUAAAAAACAAUGAAGGUCACAAUGUUACUGCUGUUUGCUUUUCUUUGCCUGUUUACAAUUGUAAACAACGCCUAUGGUGCUGAAGUUGCAAACUCAGUCAAGUUUCCAGGUGCCGCACUUGCCCAUGAUGUACCCGCCCACGUCCCAGACACCCUACCAUCAGACUUCGUUCCAGGGGCCGCACCAAGGUAGAAAGAAGGCUGAAUUCUUCCAUAGCUUGUCUUGUAAAAAUAUCUACUUAUUUUGAUCAACUUUGACCCAAACAUCGAGGGAUUCUUGAAGAACAGCGACAAAAUCACCACAGCUGACGACAAGAAUAUAAAUAUAAUUCACUGACUAAUCCAAUUUAAUAAUCCUUUCUACUAUAGCACAAGUCGAUUACAUCGACCCUAGUGCGUAACUGGUAUUUAUUUCAUCGGCACCGAAAGGAUAGAUGGCAAAGCCGACCUCGACGACUCAGAACGCAAGGUUGGACGAAAUACCAAUAACCAUUUCACUCAGCAGGCUAACGAUUCUGCCAGCUCGCCACCUUAAAUACAGUUUAAUAAUGCAUGUCAUUCUCGGAACUGAAGUCAUCACAACCAACCAAAUUUUAGUUAUUAUAGUGUACAUUGCAUAAAUCUAUUGAAAUAAACAAACAUCUGAAACAAA